GGUAAUUUUUAUUUUUCUAUUAUUCUCCGAUUAACGUGGGAAUUUCUAGGUCUUGAGAGCGAAUGUGGAGGCUCCGUUUGUUGGCCAUGUAAUAAGAUAAUAAAUUAAGGGAUUACCGGAGUGGCUUUAACAGUUCUUACCCUUUUUUAUUCUGCGAAAAAUGUAGUGGGGGUCACAGAAAACGUGAGAGGAGUAGAGAUGGCAGUUAGCUGGGCCGGCUGGUUCACCCAGGCGGACUGUCCUGGGCCGAGCCACCUUUGCUGAGGACCUGGUUCAGCCCAGAUGCGAGUCAGGUCGGGAAACUCGACACACACAGAUUUAGCUGAUUUGCCAUUCCUGUGUACUAAAAGCAAAACUGGAAGAAGAGACGUCGUGCUGGGAUAUUCAGACACUACCGGAAACGGCUUGUUUGCCGUGUGCCUCGCAAUUUGCCGUAGUGAGAGAUUUAUAUAUACACAGCAGACGUUAACUGGAUUGCGUUCUGUAUUGUAUUAUUCAGAUCGAUCUUGUACUGAAUAAGGUUGUGAUGGUUACUUCUGGCUUCGCGAGUCCAGUCAUCAGUCAUACUUUGAGCCUGUGUCUCUAUUAUGACUGAAACUUGUCUAUGCAUUUCUCACCAUUUCAUAUUGUCAGAUAUGAGAAUAUAUGCGGUUGAGUAAUACUAUGGGACGGGUCUUCCCUGCAGUUAGCCCUAGUCACUGAUGUGUGGACCCGGCCCAGUGACCCAACUACAGAGGAACCACUUCCAAUACUAUGAUGCAUGCGUCUUCUGUCUGCUGCAUGUGCCUGAUGAUAGCUGAUUUUACAAAUCUGAUAUGCUUGUAUUGGUGCACAUGGUAUGGGCAAAUGCAUGUGUUGGCUUUUGCCCUGCUGGAAUGGACCCAUUUCUUUCCAUUUACAGGUUGAGACUUGGCAGUGUAACUUAGAGUAAUGUGGGAGGUGCUGAUGUAGGUUAUGGUGGCUACCUACAAUUGGCGACUUCAUCGGCUUCCCUUUGAGUCUGUUGACUGUUCAGGCUGAGUGCAGGUAACAAAUCAAGGUCCAAGCAUUCUAUCCGCUCUGUCUUAGCUUGAUCGUAUCACAGCCCAUAGAUAAGAUAUGAUUCUGUAAGUUUUGCCCCUAGACAUAUCAAAAGUAGGACCCUGAUUGAUCACCUAGGUGUCUUUUGACUCUUUUCAGACUUGUAAAUUAACGAAUUAACUUGAGUUUUGGUAAAGUGUGGCAAUUUUUAAGCAGCAAAUCAAAUGCACCCCAGCCCAUCUAGUCCUGGAGUCAUGUUUGCUGUAACCUUUGUUUAGCUCCAUUGCAAUCUGGUUGUGGCGAGUUCUUGUUGAUCAUGCUAUUUUGUGAUAGCCAUGGUAUUGCAUAGUUCUAUAUGAUCGUCUAUUUAUUUUUCUGGUAAUGGUAUUAUCUAGAUAAAAUUGUUGUAUCCACGUGAAUUUUCUUUUCCUUUUUUAUAUG